CAUAGCUUGUAUGCUGAUAUAUGUGACUCUGGUUUUUUAAAACUACCUAGUGGAAGAACUUUGUCAGACUACAAGAACUUUUCAAGCUCAAAAUGAGGAUGGCAAUCUUCAGUCCUUGAUGCAAUGAGAAACAACUUCAAGGAGCAGGGGUUUUCUGGUGUUGCAAAGUUGGGUGGUUUGUUUUUUGAUGAGGUUAAGAUCAAAGAAGGCUUAUUAUUUGACCCAUCAUCCUGGG